GAUGAACGCUAGCGGCAGGCCUAAUACAUGCAAGUCGGACGGUAGACGAUCUUUCGGGAUUGUUGAGAGUGGCGCACGGGUGCGUAACGCGUAUGCAACCUACCUUAUACUGUGGGAUAGCCCGGGGAAACCCGGAUUAAUACCGCAUGGUACCAUCAGAUGGCAUCUGAAGAUGGUUAAAGCCCCGGCAUCUGUCGGGGCGGUAUAAGAUGGGCAUGCGUAGGAUUAGCUGGUUGGCGGGGUAACGGCCCACCAAGGCGACGAUCCUUAGGGGUUCUGAGAGGAAGGUCCCCCACACUGGCACUGAGAUACGGGCCAGACUCCUACGGGAGGCAGCAGUAGGGAAUAUUGGGCAAUGGCCGGAAGGCUGACCCAGCCAUGCCGCGUGCAGGAAGAAGGCGUUAUGCGUUGUAAACUGCUUUUAUCUGGGAAGAAAAAGCCCCUGCGGGGGAAAUUGCCGGUACCAGAUGAAUAAGCACCGGCUAACUCCGUGCCAGCAGCCGAC
rnacentral:rRNA from 1 species